rnacentral:rRNA from 1 species
UACGAAGGGGGCUAGCGUUGCUCGGAUUUACUGGGCGUAAAGGGCGCGUAGGCGGACGAUCAAGUUGGGGGUGAAAUCCCGGGGCUUAACCUCGGAACUGCCUCCAAAACUGAUCAUCUAGAGUUUGGGAGAGGUGUGUGGAACUCCGAGUGUAGAGGUGAAAUUCGUAGAUAUUCGGAAGAACACCAGUGGCGAAGGCGACACACUGGCCCAAUACUGACGCUCAUGCACGAAAGCGUGGGGAGCAAACAGG